GGGGGCCGGCAGGGAGCCUGUGCCCUUCUUCAUGGCGAGGUCGGGGGAGAGCAAGCUCCCGAGGAGGGAACCGGGGAGCUGACUCAGCGGAGCAGUCCAGCAUGUUUUCCCGGGAGCACGGCUUCCCUGCCGGAGCUAGCGGAGGGAAGUCUGAGGAGGCGGUGCAGGGUUUUAGUGAUGUUAUAGACUCUCCCACUGAAGGCUUUCCAUGUGUCCUCACUCCUGCUGUCCCCAACAAGACUGUGGACUUGUUUGAGAUGAUUGAAAAAAUGCAGGGGAGUCGUCUGGAUGAACAAAGGUGUUCCCUUCCAGCUCCUCUCAAGACAGAAGAGGAGUAUAUUCCUUAUCCCAGCAUCCAUGAGGUAUUACAGAAAGGGUGGCCAUAUCCUCUCAUUAUCCUACCCCAGUUUGGGGGUUACUGGAUUGAAGGGACCAGCCACAACCUCUCCAGCUUGAGUCCAACUCUGUCUGAUGUACCCUUUUCCUGGAGUGGUAAAGUGAAACUGGAAAGUGACCCUACAGCCAAGCUGUACCGCAAACAUUUUCUGGGAAAGGAGCACCAGAACUUUUACUCCAGUGACAUGUCCUUGGGCUACCUAGUACUUUCUGUGAAGUAUGAACAGAUUGAGAAACAGGAAAAUCUCCGCCUGUUGCUGAGGACUCGUACUGGCACCAAACAUGAUCUUAUUCCAAUUUCCUGUCUGAAUGAAUUUCCCAAUGCUGUUCAGAUGGCAAAGCUACUGUGUGAGGAUGUGAACGUUGAACGCUUCUUUCCUGUCCUUUAUCCCAAGGCUUCACAGCUUAUUGUUGCAUUUGAUGAACACGUCAUAAGCAAUAACUUCAAAUUUGGGGUCAUCUACCAAAAACCUGGACAGACAACUGAAGAAGAAGUCUUCAGUAACACAGUAGAGAGUCAGGGUUUCCUGGAGUUCCUGGAUUUCCUUGGUGACAAGAUUCAGCUGCAGGAUUUCCGUGGGUUCCGGGGAGGCUUGGAUGUUACCAGAGGUCAAACAGGCACCGAGUCAGUCUAUACAAAUUUCCGGGGGAAGGAGAUCAUGUUUCACGUGUCCACAAAGCUGCCCUUCACAGAGGGAGAUUCCCAGCAGCUUCAGCGGAAGCGUCACAUUGGGAAUGAUAUUGUAGCCAUCAUUUUCCAGGAUGAAAGCACACCUUUUGUCCCUGAUAUGAUUGCUUCUAAUUUCCUUCAUGCUUAUGUGGUAGUUCAGCUCACUCAUAGCACCACUGGGGACACUCUCUACAAGGUUUCAGUCACAGCCCGAGAUGAUGUCCCCUUCUUUGGACCGCCGCUGCCAAAUCCAGCCAUAUUUAAAAAGAGUGCAGAGUUUCGUGAAUUCCUUCUGGUCAAGCUCAUCAAUGCCGAGUACAGCUGCUACCGAGCUGAGAAAUUUGCUAAAUUAGAGGAAAGAACACGGAGUGCCCUCUUGGAGAGCCUUUUUGAGGAGCUGCAGCUUCGCAGCCGCAGCAUGAUGGGGUUGCCUGUAGGGGAGGAUGACAAGAUAGAGAAUGGCAGUGGGGGCUUCCUCGAGAACUUCAAGCGGGUGAUCAGAGGCCGCAGCCAGAGCCUGGAUACCAUGGGGAUAUCCAUGAGAAAGCAGCAGCCAGCCACCCUGCCCAGCCGCCCAGCUACAGCUGGCCUUGCCCUCAGCCAGAGUGUCGCCGAGGGCCCUAAGGCCAUUGCUGCGUCUUUUGCCUUGCCUGGUAGGAGCCCAUCCCGUACUCGAGCCAGCCGCUUCCACGGGCGACGGAGUAGUGCCAUUGGCAUUGAAAACAUACAGGAGGAAAAGAGCAGAGACACCACAGAGAGAAUACAAAGGGUGUUGGACAGUCCAGGAACUUUCUUUGACCUGAAGUCUGAUGGAUCAUCUAGUCCCAGCUCUCCAGAGUUCCCCAGCAGGAAGAGCAAAAUGCUCAGGAGUCAGACUUCAGGAUACUGUGUGAUGCAGCCACUCUCACGUUCAUCAUCCAGUGUAAGCAGUUGUUGUAGUGGAUUGAGGGAAAAUGGAACAUCUGAGGAAGAGGAGAAUGACAGGGAGCUGACGUGCUCACUUAAGGGCCCUCCAAAACAGGAUUCAAUGGUUCAGAGUAUGUGGCUGGAUGACAGUGACUGCACACCCAGUACUUCUAGCUCACCAGGAAGCAGGUUGCUUCCUUCCAGCAGUGUUGCUGGCUCCACUGGAAAAGGAAAAGGCAGCAAAGCAGAGGCUCAACACCAUAAUCCAGCCUCCAUUUUGUGCUGUGUGUGAUGUCAGCGCUGGAGCACUGUCUGCUGCACACACGGUGAGGAGCACAGAGACACUCUCUCAAGUGCCAGAUCUUGAGAUGAAUAGUCAAAUGCCCUGCAACUCAUAAAAACAGCACCAACAUUUUCAUGUGCCUUCUCCUUCUAACACAUCAGGAAAAUGAGGAGCUCUUUUUGACUGUGCUUGAAGAGGAGGUUAAACAAGUGUACCACUGGACUAGAACAAAAUGCUUGGUAGCCACAGUAUUUAGAGUGCAAUAUUGACACUGUGAAGUAGUAUCUGGUCCUCACCAUUUCAGGGCAGAAAGAGGAUUUAAGUGGACUGGGGCAGAAUUCAGACCACACAUUGCUGAUAUAGCAAUUUACAUGAAGCUACUUUUGAUUAAAUAAAGAAGUAAAAGAAUACUAAGGAAUUAUUAUCAGGUUUUAAAAGUACCAUUUUUCUGACUGAUGUGUAAAAUAAAUCCACCUGUAAAGACUCAGAUGAUUGGCUGGGACCUCUCAGCCACCUUUGGAUGACAAAUUUCCAGAAAAGUCUAGUACUUGUUGCAGGAGUGAAUGAAAACAGACACAAGCAGACAAGGGGACACUUCCCUCUCUGCAUUGAUGCACGGGAGGGAUACUCAUCGACUGCCAAACUGUGACUAAAUUGGAGAUUGUUCUGAGUAUGAAGCGCUGAAGUUCUGCAUGUCCUUGUUUAUUUAAAUAAUGAUGGAUUCAGAGACAAUGUGACAACGUUCUGUAUAUGUUUAUGUAUUGGGUCUAGCUGGAAUGGAGCUACUUUGCUUCACAGCAGCUCCUAUGGUUUUGUGUUUCAGAUCUGUGACCAAAACAAUGCUGACAACAUCCUAAUUAUUUUAGCUAUUGAUGAAUGGCGUUUGCACAGUGUCGUGGCAGUCUCUGGUUCUCACUCUCCCCCCACAGUGAAUAACGUGGGGCUUCACCAGAGGCUGGGAGAUGACCUGAACUAACCCAAGAGACAGACCAUGCCAUAUGCCAUGCUCAGCAGUAAUUGAUGAGGAGGGGGUUUAGGCAGGUUAAGCUUUUUCUUGGGAACUGGCUGAGCAUCAGUCUAUGUGUAGGGAUUCUUUGUUUUCUUUCACUCUGCUCCCAGUUCUCUUUUGUUUAUUAAGUAAUUUUAUCUCAACCCACAAGUUUUCUGGCUUUUAUUCUUCUUUUCCUCUUCUCCUGUCCUUCUGGGCAGUGGGAGGAAGCAAGUAAGCACCUGUGUGGUGCCUACCAGGGUAAAAGUACCACUUUAAUUAUAUCUUUAGCUAUAGGUACAGUUAAUUAAUUAAAUUAUAUGUUUAAAUAAAAAAAUAACUUUAUUUAUAUCCUUCAAAUCUUGCUUCUUAAAAAGGCAAAGUGCACACCUUUGCUGAAACUUUGGUAAAAAAGCUACACUAAGAUGAAGCUGAAGUGCGAGAACUAGACUUAGGGAGGAACAGCAAGACUACAAGCUUCAGAUUUCAGCUAGGGAUGUUGGAUAGGAGACACCAGUCAUCUCCUCUCUUUUCUCCAGAUUCCAAGAACUUAUAAAAGGGGAGACCUUCAAGAGGAUCUGCUGGUAUACUACCUUACACACUAUUACAGCUUUUGCUAUAAUAAACAAAAUUGAAAUAGCAAAAGAAAAAACAUCAGGAGUAUAAUUUCCAGGUAUAUAAGAGGGCAAUAUAGGACUGAGCUUAAUAGAAAACCUGACUCCACCACUCUAAGGAAAGUCACCUUCCCCAAGUGUUGCAUUACAGCUGAACAUUUCAUAUAGCAUCAAUGCCUCAAUGCAGAAACUAUUUAUUUACUCAUGAAAAUGAGUUUUAAUAACAUAGGAUCAAUAGGUAACUCAUUGUCCAGCCUGGGUAUCUUGCCACAUGAAUUAACAAAAAAAACAAACAAAAAAAAGUGUACUCUGGUUCUGAAAAAAAAAAAAAAAAAAAA